rnacentral:rRNA from 2 species
GCUCCUGUGGAAAGUGGCAGACGGGUGAGUAACGCGUGGGAAUUUACCCAGUGGUUCGGAAUAACGCAUGGAAACGUGUGCUAAUACCGGAUACGCCCUCCGGGGGAAAGAUUUAUCGCCAUUGGAUGAGCCCGCGUCGGAUUAGCUUGUUGGUGAGGUAAAAGCUCACCAAGGCGACGAUCCGUAGCUGGUCUGAGAGGAUGAUCAGCCACACUGGGACUGAGACACGGCCCAGACUCCUACGGGAGGCAGCAGUGGGGAAUAUUGCGCAAUGGAGGAAACUCUGACGCAGCCAUGCCGCGUGAGUGAAGAAGGCCUUAGGGUUGUAAAACUCUUUCACCGGUGGAGAUAAUGACGGUAGCCGGAGAAGAAGCCCUGGCCAACUCCGUGCCAGCAGCCGCGGUAAUACGGAGGGGGCUAGCGUUGUUCGGAUUUACUGGGCGUAAAGCGCGCGUAGGCGGGCUGGUCAGUUGGGGGUGAAAUCCCGAGGCUCAACCUCGGAACUGCC